rnacentral:lncRNA from 1 species
CUAAAAAAUCGAGAAUAUUCUUUCAUUUGUGAACGUAAAGUCCUGUAUAAUGGACAUCAGAUAUAACCGAUGGUGUUUAUAUAGAAGUACCGGUUGUGUUAUGUCGAUUAAUUAAAUAGAGAAUUAAAUUAUAAAGUGUUGUGUAAAAGAAGAGCUUCAGUGUUUUUACUGCUUGAGAUAAGAGAUUUCCUGUUGAUGAGUGAUAUCGGUUGAAAUCUCGGUAGCUGGAUUUUUGUCCUAAUGAGAGACUUGCUCAAAUGUAGGCUUCAUAUUACAUCGAACGAUAAACAUAAAUUAAGACUACCAUAAGAUUUUACUUAGAUUUGAGCAAGAUGAUCAUUAAAACAAAAAUUAUCCGAUUAAGAGAGAAAAUGGCGUCAUCUAAGAACUUCAAUCAGUACACCCGCAGUCACGCCCUAGAGUAAAAAGAGAACAAGAGGAUAUACGUCGGCAACCCUUUGGAGAGAUCAUCAUGCUUCUUUUCCUUUUCCUCCUAGGUCUUGGCAUUUGUAUCACGGGAUCAAAGCAGGAUGUAAAGACAACGCUUAUUUGCUGAAUUUAAUCUCUGGUGCUGAAUGUAAAAGCUCUUCAACCUCGGCGUCAGUAACUUCUCGUAUAAUUGAAUUCGAAUUGGAAUUUAGAUUACUAGCUACCAUAGAACUCGAAUUAGCAUUCGAUGCAACGUUGGUUGAUUGAGAUGUCGAAGAUGUGACAUUCUCUCCGUCUUCAGGUACUCCAAGAAAUAUCUAUGUUAUAAAAUACAAACCAUAGGGUCUAAAGGUGGUCUAUUAUCAAGACAGUGCUG